AUUUAUAUAGUUUAAAAAAACAAUUCAUUUUCAAUGAAUAAAUGAGAUAAUUCUCUAUAAAUU
rnacentral:tRNA from 1 species